GACGAACGCUGGCGGCGUGCUUAACACAUGCAAGUCGAGCGGUAAGGCCCUUUCGGGGGUACACGAGCGGCGAACGGGUGAGUAACACGUGGGUGACCUGCCCUCAGCUCUGGGAUAAGCCCGGGAAACUGGGUCUAAUACUGGAUAUGACUCCAUGACGCAUGUUGUGGGGUGGAAAGCCUUGUGCGGCUGAGGAUGGGCCCGCGGCCUAUCAGCUUGUUGGUGGGGNGAUGGCCUACCAAGGCGACGACGGGUAGCCGGCCUGAGAGGGCGACCGGCCACACUGGGACUGAGACACGGCCCAGACUCCUACGGGAGGCAGCAGUGGGGAAUCUUGCGCAAUGGGCGAAAGCCUGACGCAGCGACGCCGCGUGAGGGAUGACGGCCUGGUGUAACGUAC
rnacentral:rRNA from 1 species